GCUUAGAGAGGGGUCAAUGUCCUAUCAGCUAGUUGGUAAGGUAAUGGCUUACCAAGGCUAAGACGGGUAGCCGGCCUGAGAGGGUGGUCGGCCACACUGGGACUGAGACACUGCCCAGACUCCUACGGGAGGCUGCAGUCGAGAAUCUUUCGCAAUGCCCGAAAGGGUGACGAAGCGACGCCGCGUGUGGGAAGAAGGCCUUCGGGUUGUAAACCACUGUCGGGAGUUAAGAAAUGUAAGGGUGUUAAUAGCAUCCUUACUUGACUAAGGCUCCGGAGGAAGCCACGGCUAACUCUGUGCCAGCAGCCGCGGUAAUACAGAGGCGGCAAGCGUUGUUCGGAAUUAUUGGGCGUAAAGAGCACGUAGGCGGCUUUGUAAGUCAGUUGUGAAAGCCUUCCGCUUAACGGAAGAACAGCAUCUGAUACUGCAAGGCUAGAGUGCGAAAGGG
rnacentral:rRNA from 1 species